ACUUCGUUAGGCUAUCAUUUGUGGCCAGGUCGGUUCUGAAAAAUAGCUCUGGUAAAAUAAAAAAUGGUUUCAUUUAUAGUCUACAUAGGAUUGACUUCCCAGGAAGUAACACUCAUUGUAUAAACCCCAGAAGAAUAUUGUUUUGAGUCACCCAAACCAGAAUGUGAACUGAUAUAUUCGUAUUUUCAAGCGAGGUUCUCGGCCACAGACCACCUGGACAAAUAUGAUGUAGUUUAGUUUGCAUAUGAAUUAUUACUUGGGGUUUGUUGACAUGAUAAAGUUAAUGUUUUCUUUGACAGGUCUAUUGUGUUGUACACUCUGACAGGGGCUCAGGCUUGUUGGGGCAGCAUCUGGCUGAAAUGCACCUUCACAACAGAAGAUUGGAGAGAGGCUUCACAAGGAAGAGAAAACUAUCGCUGAAUGAGUGGCAGGAGGACUGGGUGACGUUCUUCUCACGGCAGCGACUGCAGCUUCAGCUGGACAUGAUAGAGAAGGACUACGGUGAACGGGAAACCCGCGAGCUCUGGUCUCGGCUUCAGCUUCGGUUGGGGGAUUUUUUCCGGGACGUAGAGGUGGUUCCGGCACUGCUCCACGGUGACCUAUGGACUGGGAACGCUGCAGAGAUUAAUGAAGGGCCCGUGAUCUUUGACCCAGCCUCCUUCUAUAGGCACUCGGAGUACGAGCUUGCCAUCGCUGGGAUGUUCCAGGAGCUUUAGCUCUACGCUUCACUCAUCCUACCACGCUCUCAUCCCAAAGUCACAAGGCUUCGGCAAGAACCAGAAGCUCUAGCAACUCUUCCACUACCUGAACCACUGGAAUCACUUUGGGACAGGAUACCGAGGGUGAUGCAAUUGGUGUGCCAACACCUCCAGAUGCAGUUCCUGAAGGACGUGGGCAUUCGGGACAUGUUCGUUUUGCCUGUGAUGAAUGAGUUUGUCCAAACACACAGGGAAGUCAGCCUGUUCAUCGAGGUGCGUUUCCCAUGUUUAUUUCACUCGAUUGGUCGUCUGUUUGCAAGGUCAUGCUCUGCCCAGAGGUCACCCACUGAGAUUUUUUUUACCGUAACAUUACCGUCACUUGGGUUUGGUGAUUGAUUCAACGGGCAAAAAUAUUUAUAAGAAGCGUAAACAUGGCAACGUGAUCAUUGUCAGACCACGGAGGACCUUCAGAAUGCCGAGUAUGAUCUUUAAAUUGAUCCUGGACUCAGUCAGGGGAUAUUUGAACAAUUUGAAUAUUGGGGCGAUAUCGUCUUGCUACGGGUCUGAGUGAGAAGUCUCCCAGCGGUUUUUUGAGUCCAUAAUCGGGAUAUUUGGGUUAGAGCACGUAAACAUGCACUCAAUAAUACACUAAAUAUGCACUAUUUAUUUAUAUAUACAGUGAGGGAAAAAAGUAUUUGAUCCCCUGCUGAUUUUGUACGUUUGCCCACUGGUAAAGAAAUUAUCAGUCUAUAAUUU